rnacentral:misc_RNA from 1 species
GAUGAAGAACGUAGCAAAAUGCGAUACUUGGUGUGAAUUGCAGAAUCCCGUGAACCAUCGAGUUUUUGAACGCAAGUUGCGCCCGAAGCCUUUUGGCCGAGGGCACGUCUGCCUGGGCGUCACGCAUCGCGUCGCCCCCCACAAUUCUCCGUAAAGGGAACGUGUGUUUUGGGGGCGGAUAUUGGUCUCCCGUGCUCAUGGCGUGGUUGGCCGAAAUAGGAGUCCUUUCGAUGGACGCACGAACUAGUGGUGGUCGUAAAAACCCUUGUCUUUUGUUUCGUGCUGUUGCUCGCAAGGUAAACUCUUUAAAAACCCCAAUGUGUCGUCUCUUGACGACGCUUCGACCGCGACCCCAGGUCAGGCGGGACUACCCGCUGAGUUUAAGCAUAUCAAUAAGCGGAGGA